AACGAACGCUGGCGGCGUGCUUAACACAUGCAAGUCGAACGCGAAAAGGGGCAACCCUCGGUAGCGUGGCAGACGGGUGAGUAACACGUGGGUAACCUACCCGGAGGUGGGGGAUAACCCUUCGAAAGGAGGGCUAAUACCGCAUGACAUCGUGGGGACUUUGGACCUCGCGAUCAAAGCUGGCCUCUGUUUACAAGCUAGCGCCACCGGAGGGGCCCGCGCCCCAUUAGCUAGUUGGUGAGGUAACGGCUCACCAAGGCGACGAUGGGUAGCCGGCCUGAGAGGGCGACCGGCGACACUGGAACUGCGACACGGUCCAGACCCCUACGGGAGGCAGCAGUGAGGAAUCUUGCGCAAUGGGCGAAAGCCUGACGCAGCGACGCCGCGUGAAGGAUGAAGGUCUUCGGAUUGUAAACUUCUGUCGAGUGGGACGAAUGCCAUGAGGGUGAACAAUCCUCGUGGUUGACGGUACCGCUGGAGGAAGCCCCGGCUAACUCCGUGCCAGCAGCCGCCGUAAUAC
rnacentral:rRNA from 1 species